UACGAAGGGGGCUAGCGUUGCUCGGAAUUACUGGGCGUAAAGGGCGCGUAGGCGGAUGUUUAAGUCAGAGGUGAAAGCCCAGGGCUCAACCUUGGAACUGCCUUUGAUACUGGGCAUCUUGAGUAUGGGAGAGGUGAGUGGAACUCCGAGUGUAGAGGUGAAAUUCGUAGAUAUUCGGAAGAACACCAGUGGCGAAGGCGACUCACUGGCCCAUUACUGACGCUGAGGUGCGAAAGCGUGGGGAGCAAACAGG
rnacentral:rRNA from 1 species